rnacentral:tRNA from 1 species
GGGCGGGUGGCGGAACUGGUAGACGCGCAGGCUUGAGGGGCCUGUGGCCCUUAUGGGCCGUGGAGGUUCAAGUCCUCUUCCGCCCA